AGUGAACGCUGGCGGUAGGCCUAGCACAUGCAAGUCGAACGGCAGCACAGUAAGAGCUUGCUCUUACGGGUGGCGAGUGGCGGACGGGUGAGGAAUACAUCGGAAUCUACUUUUUCGUGGGGGAUAACGUAGGGAAACUUACGCUAAUACCGCAUACGACCUACGGGUGAAAGCAGGGGAUCUUCGGACCUUGCGCGAUUGAAUGAGCCGAUGUCGGAUUAGCUAGUUGGCGGGGUAAAGGCCCACCAAGGCGACGAUCCGUAGCUGGUCUGAGAGGAUGAUCAGCCACACUGGAACUGAGUCACGGUCCAGACUCCUACGGGAGGCAGCAGUGGGGAAUAUUGGACAAUGGGCGCAAGCCUGAUCCAGCCAUACCGCGUGGGUGAAGAAGGCCUUCGGGUUGUAAAGCCCUUUUGUUGGGAAAGAAAAGCAGCAGGUUAAUACCCCGCUGUUCUGACGGUACCCAAAGAAUAAGCACCGGCUAACUUCGUG
rnacentral:rRNA from 1 species